CAGCCGCCGCGGUAAUACAGAGGGUGCGAGCGUUAAUCGGAUUUACUGGGCGUAAAGCGUGCGUAGGCGGCUUCUUAAGUCGGAUGUGAAAUCCCUGAGCUUAACUUAGGAAUUGCAUUCGAUACUGGGAAGCUAGAGUAUGGGAGAGGAUCGUAGAAUUCCAGGUGUAGCGGUGAAAUGCGUAGAGAUCUGGAGGAAUACCGAUGGCGAAGGCAGCCAUCUGGCCUAAUACUGACGCUGAGGUACGAAAGCAUGGGGAGCAAACAGGAUUAGAUACCCCCGUAGUCCCUGUCUCUUAUAC
rnacentral:rRNA from 1 species